GACAGAGGGUGCUAGCGUUGUUCGGAAUUAUUGGGCGUAAAGGGCGCGUAGGCGGUCCGCUAAGUUCGGCGUGAAAUCCCCUGGCUCAACUGGGGAACUGCGCUGGAUACUGGUGGACUUGAGUACCGGAGAGGAGAGUGGAAUUCCUGGUGUAGCGGUGAAAUGCGUAGAUAUCGGGAGGAACACCUGUGGCGAAAGCGGCGCACUGGACCAUAACUGACGCUGAGGCGCGAAAGCUAGGGGAGCAAACAGG
rnacentral:rRNA from 1 species